UACGAAGGGGGCUAGCGUUGUUCGGAAUUACUGGGCGUAAAGCGUGCGCAGGCGGUUCUCCAAGUCAGUGGUGAAAGCCCGGAGCUCAACUCCGGAACUGCCAUUGAAACUGUAGAGCUAGAGUACGAGAGAGGUGAGUGGAAUUCCCAGUGUAGAGGUGAAAUUCGUAGAUAUUGGGAAGAACACCGGUGGCGAAGGCGGCUCACUGGCUCGUAACUGACGCUCAUGCACGACAGCGUGGGGAUCAAACAGG
rnacentral:rRNA from 1 species